UACGUAGGAUCCAAGCGUUGUCCGGAUUUACUGGGUGUAAAGGGUGCGCAGGCGGACUGGUUAGUCUGGGGUGAAAUCUCAUCGCUCAACGGUGAAACUGCCUUAGAUACUGCCAGUCUUGAAUUAGGGAGAGGUUCGUGGAAUUCCGAGUGUAGCAGUGAAAUGUGUAGAUAUUCGGAAGAACACCAGUGGCGAAGGCAGCGAGCUGGUCCAUUACUGACGCUGAGGCGCGACAGCGUGGGGAGCAAAC
rnacentral:rRNA from 1 species